rnacentral:rRNA from 1 species
AGUAGCCUACGGGGGGCAGCAGUGAGGAAUAUUGGUCAAUGGGCGGAAGCCUGAACCAGCAACGCCGCGUGAAGGGAGAAGGCCUUCGGGUCGUAAACUUCUGUCCUUGGGGAAGAAGAACUGACGGUACCCAAGGAGGAAGCCCCGGCUAACUACGUGCCAGCAGCCGCGGUAAUACGUAGGGGGCAAGCGUUAUCCGGAAUUAUUGGGCGUAAAGAGUACGUAGGUGGCAACCUAAGCGCAGGGUUUAAGGCAAUGGCUCAACCAUUGUUCGCCCUGCGAACUGGGAUGCUUGAGUGCAGGGG